rnacentral:misc_RNA from 1 species
CUAGGUCCUCAUCCAUCAGAAAUCUGUUCAUGGUAUAUUCACAUCUAGUCAAAAGAACCCUGAUUGAGAUUUUGCUGACUUCAGAUCUUGUCGAGCUCCAAUCACCAGCUUCAUUAUCGUAACUGCUCAAGAAAAACAACUUCUGCAAGCAAGCCAGGGAAAAUCUGCUACAAUGAAAUGGCAUAAGUUCCACGGUUUCAAUGGGCAAAGAGCAUGUGCGUGAUGCACAACGGUCCAUGGUGGAAACUAGUCGCUCCAGAAUAUCAACAGGUGCAUCAAUUGGUGAUUUAAGAAUCUUAUCACCCAGAACAUGCAGAAUGGUCAUCUCCAGUGCCUCAUCAGCCUUAAGUGCUUCAGCUGAGAGAGAGUUGGAAGGUAUGGCACGACCACAAUAGCCUACCAGGAAUAUUUCAUAAACAUCUGCUAUUUCUUUCCAGACACGUGUUCUCAUAGGUCUAUUAAUUCUGGA